CCGUGGCCUAGGUAGCAUAAUCAUUAGUCUUUUAAUUGGGGACUGGAAUGAAAGGUUAAACGAGAAAUUGACUUUUUUAAUAGUAAAAAUCUAACUUUUGGUUUAAGUGAAAACCCUUAAAUAUAAUAAAAAGACGAGAAGACCCUAUAGAGUUUUAUAAUUUAAUAUAUUUAUAUUAAUUGAUGUUUAGAUUUAAAUUUAUGAUUUUAUUUUGUUGGGGCGACAUAAAGAUAUAAGAAACUCUUUUUUUAUAUUACUUUAAUUAAAGAAUAGCUUGAUCCUUAAAAAAGAUUAUAAGAGAAAGUUACCUUAGGGAUAACAGCGUAAUUUUUCUUGAGAGUUCCAAUCGACAGAAAGGUUUGCGACCUCGAUGUUGGACUAAAAUUAUGGUGAGGUGCAGAAGCUUCAUUUUUAGGUCUGUUCGACCUAUAAUUUUUUACACGAUUUGAGUUCCAGACC
rnacentral:rRNA from 1 species